rnacentral:rRNA from 1 species
UACGUAGGGGGCCAGCGUUGCUCGGAAUUAUUGGGCGUAAAGGGCGCGUAGGCGGCUUGGUAAGUUUGAUGUGAAAUCCCAUGGCUCAACCAUGGAACUGCAUCUCAUACUGCCGAGCUAGAGUCUGGGAGAGGGAAGCGGAAUUCCCGGUGUAGCGGUGAAAUGCGUAGAUAUCGGGGGGAACACCAGUGGCUAAGGCGGCUUCCUGGACCAGCACUGACGCUGCGGCGCGAAAGCUAGGGGAGCAAACAGG